GCCGCGGUAGCUCAAGUAGUAGAGCAUCGCACGUGAAAUGCGAAAGUUGUGGGUUCGGUUCCCACCUGCGGCA
rnacentral:tRNA from 1 species